GACGAACGCUGGCGGCGUGCUUAACACAUGCAAGUCGAACGGAAAGGCCCUGCUUUUGUGGGGUGCUCGAGUGGCGAACGGGUGAGUAACACGUGAGUAACCUGCCCUUGACUUUGGGAUAACUUCAGGAAACUGGGGCUAAUACCGGAUAUGAGCUCCUGCUGCAUGGUGGGGGUUGGAAAGUUUCGGCGGUUGGGGAUGGACUCGCGGCUUAUCAGCUUGUUGGUGGGGUAGUGGCUUACCGAGGCUUUGACGGGUAGCCGGCCUGAGAGGGUGACCGGCCACAUUGGGACUGAGAGACGGCCCAGACUCCUACGGGAGGCAGCAGUGGGGAAUAUUGCACAAUGGGCGGAAGCCUGAUGCAGCAACGCCGCGUGCGGGAUGACGGCCUUCGGGUUGUAAACCGCUUUCGCCUGUGACGAAGAGUGAGUGACGGUAAUGGGUAAAGAAGCACCGGCUAACUACGUG
rnacentral:rRNA from 1 species